rnacentral:lncRNA from 1 species
UUAUAUUACGCCCACAUUAUUUUGCUCCAAAAUCCACUUGAUGUAAAUUUCAGCAUGGUAUUUUCAAAGAAUUAUUGCAUACAGCUCGUCCAUAAUAGGUCCUUCAAAUGGAACUUACUCAUCACCACCAUUCUGCCUCUGCUUGCAACAAAAUCCCUGCAACUCUUUCGUCGACCGAGGUAGCAUGGAUUGUAUCUUGGACAACUCAACCUUGAAAAGCAUUCCUCUCACAAAAGCACUAGUAAUCCACUUUGCCAACAGCAACUCCUCUAUGGCUACGCGACCUGACCGAGCUGAAGUUAGUAGAAGCAUCAACGCCGCAACCUCUGCCACAAUUCCACCACCACUGGAAUAGAGAACAAGUAAAACUUGACAGCAUUGCAGCCGUUGCAACGCCCAGCAACACGCAACUCGCCGUAUGUCGCACUCCGCACCACAAGUGUUAAUGCUAUCAAUCUGAGAAUGUGAAUCUACAACACGGCUUUUUGUUCUAGAUCACCAAGAAGACCUCCAUCAUGACAGCAGCCUUAGGCAACAAAGACACAGAAUCACCAGCCUUGAAUCCACUAAAGGCUCACAGCAUAGGCUAUCCACCAACUGAGAGACUCAAGUUUGCCACCGCAUGACAACUUCCAUGUAGAACAUAACCUCUGGAGCCACAAUGGAUGCCAAACACUAGAUCCACGCCCCUUGUUUCAACAGCUUUUUGUCCUAAAGCAGCCGCCACAAUCGUCCAAAAUAUAUUCCAACACUAAAAGAGGAAAGAACCAUAAAACCAGUCGCUGCUCCCAACUUCGCUGCUGGUUGCCUCUAAAAACACACAGACAACACCUCCCGAGAAUAUGGAGCUGCCUCAAAGAGAACUUUGAUCCUAGUAGAGAUCGUGUGCACCAACAUCGCAUUGCUACAAUGGAACAGAACAAAACAACCGCCAAAGCUUUCUGCUCCAAGCGCCGCACUAAAGAAUAGAAGAAGAACACAGACUCAACUUAUUGAGCCGCUAUUACCACCAGAAUUGACAUGUCGCUGCAACACUGCAGCACAACAGCACGUUCAGCUCACCGAGCCUCCAGCCGCAACACCAACAAUUUGUGGAACUCCCUGAUCCACAAGGGAAACAAAAACAAAGAGCCUUCAUUCGGCCACCUCGAAGUCACAAAUGAUCCAAAGAAGGAAGGGAACAAAACAAUACAUGGAG